rnacentral:rRNA from 1 species
UGGGGAAUAUUGCACAAUGGAGGGAACUCUGAUGCAGCGACGCCGCGUGAGUGAUGAAGGAAUUCGUUUCGUAAAACUCUGUUCUAUGGGAAGAAAAGGACUGUACCAUAGGAGAAAGCUCCGGCUAAAUACGUGCCAGCAGCCGCGGUAAUACGUAUGGAGCGAGCGUUGUCCGGAAUUAUUGGGCGUAAAGGGUGCGCAGGCGGCUUUACAAGUUGGAUGUGAAAUAUUGUGGCUCAACCACAAACGUGCAUCCAAAACUGCAAAGCUUGAGUUAAGGAGAGGUAAGUGGAAUUCCUGGUGUAGCGGUGGAAUGCGUAGAUAUCAGGAGGAAUACCGGUGGCGAAGGCGACUUACUGGAAUUAAGCUGACGCUCAGGCACGAAAGCGUGGGGAGCAAGCAGG